AUUUUAUUAAUAUAUAAAUAAAUAAUAUAUUUAAUUUCCAAUUAAAAUAAAAUAUAAAAUA
rnacentral:tRNA from 1 species